GAUUGUAAAACGCUCAACUUGAUAAAUGUAGCAUUAUAAAAUAAUGGAUAACAUUUGAGAGUGGUAGUAGUGGGUUAAAUGCUGGAUGACUGCCGAGUAAGUGUAAUAAGAUGAUGAAUUGCAUCAGGGACUUUAGAAAGGCGGCUGCUGCUGGGGGUCUUUAAGUGCACCACCUAAAUCAUUCGUCCGCCACGGUGGUGUCCCGCUG
ensembl:ncRNA F56E3.16 ncRNA